UUAUAACCAGACAUGGAUAAUAAUACACAAGUAAAUUAAAUAAUGUCUGGUAAUACUGAGUUCCAUAUCCCGAGAGUACUACAGAUUUUCUUCCCCUAGUAAAAGACGUGGGGAAAAUAAAGCACAUUCAUUAGGAGAACAGAAUUAACCAGUUGGUGAUUUUAACUUUUAUUACCUAAGUAAUGCUGCCUAUCCACAAUUAUUUACAGAUUGAUGUACAGAGAAAGAGGGAAAAAAACAGUUUGGUAGAGACGGAACGAGGAAAAAAGAAGGAAGUGAAGAAAAUCAGUUAAAUUUUAUUAUAGUGUCAUGUCAUCAAUCUGUAAAUAAAUAUGUACAUGUUGCAUUACUCUUAUUACCUUGGGUGGGAUAACGGUGUUUAUAUAAAAAACUAACCAUCUGAAUAGCCAUAUGCAAACUACCACCAAACAUCGCUUAGAAGACUAGUUUCUGAAUUCAAAUCAACCUCGACCCCUAUUAAUGACAAACUUGACUACUAAGCAAACAGCUCGUUGUCAGUUGAUGAAACAAGGUAGCAUCUCGAGUCUUUCAAAAUGCCACAGUUUCAGCCAGCAUAUUUACAAAGCACCACACUUGCAAUAGAAAAUGAAAAUAAGGGAUAUUUACCAUCUGAUUUACAGAGGCAAAGCAUUUGUAAAUCCAUUCAACCGAGGGAAUGUAGUCUAAAACUCUAUCAUCAUCUGCACCCGGGUCAUAUUUGUUCUUAUAUUUCCUCUCAAAGCAACAGUUUUGAGACCUACAAUUUACAAAGGUAGCGGCACCACAUGAGGAAAACCUGAAGAAAAAAAUUGUUAAUUUGAGCUUAUUGCUGAAUAUUCAGCUUGAAACAAAGAAAUGAAAGGAUAUGCCAAUAUCCAUUGAUACUAACUCAAUCAUAUGAUUUCAAACACGGUAAAUGAACAAACUUUUAGUUUCAAUAAACUUCAGAAAAGUGCAGAUAAAAAUGAUGAAUGCUAUUGGAGGCCUUCUAAAUAGAAACUAAAAUAUAACAAAACUUGGCAAUGCAAAGUUCACUAGUGAAGUUGUAAAUAGUGUUUAUUUUAUUCCAUUUUUUCCUUUCAAGGGAGACUAUCAUGUUGAUUAUCCAUGCGAUCUACCUCAAUAAGUGCAUCAGCA
rnacentral:lncRNA from 1 species